GAGAGUUAAACAGUACGUGAAAUUGUUGAAAGGGAAACGAUUGAAGUCAGUCAUACCAACGGGAAAUCAACCUUUUGAGCUUGGUCUCGUGGGUUUUGAAGAGUUUCAAAGCCUUCGGAUUCGCGAGAUUGGGAUCUCUCGGUGUACUUUUUCGUACGGUUAGUCAACAUCGGUUUUGAAUGUCAUAAAAUGACUGGAGGAAUGUAGCUUCGAUCUCGUAUUGAAGUGUUAUAGCCUUUGGUAGAUGUGAUGUUUGAGACCGAGGAUUGCAACGGAUACCCUUCAGGGCUAUUCGUCUGAUCUCUGAUACGUUGCCUUGAUGUUGAAAGCUUGCUUAUGAUGUUAGGGUAUUACGGUCAAAAGGUUAGAACGAAUUACAUUCGUUAAGGAUGUUGACGUAAUGACUUUAAACGA
rnacentral:rRNA from 1 species